AUAAUGUACAAAGAAAGAGAAGAGCUACCCAAUGAUACAGAAGAAGGUUUUAGGGGAGGAAGAAAUCUUGCAUUUGGGGCUGGUGGGCCGAGGGGCAGCUUACAGAGAGAAUACAAACAUAAAGUGACCUUUCACUCUAAUUCUUCAGCUUUGUUACAUCUGAAACCUACUGUGUAACUCUUGUUGAUGUUCA